rnacentral:tRNA from 1 species
GCGGACGUGGCGGAAUUGGCAUACGCGUACGGCUUAGGACCGUAUCCCUUGUGGAUGAGAGUUCAAGUCUCUCCGUCCGCACCA